rnacentral:rRNA from 1 species
CCUCCCUCCAACCCCAUGUCGAAACGACUCUGUUGCCUCGGGGGCGACCCGGCCUUCGGGCGUCGGGGCCCCCGGUGGACACCUUCAUAACUCUUGCAUCUCUUGCGUCUGAGUGAUACAUACAAUCAAUCAAAACUUUCAACAACGGAUCUCUUGGUUCUGGCAUCGAUGAAGAACGCAGCGAAAUGCGAUAAGUAAUGUGAAUUGCAGAAUUCAGUGAAUCAUCGAAUCUUUGAACGCACAUUGCGCCCCCUGGCAUUCCGGGGGGCAUGCCUGUUCGAGCGUCAUUACACCACUCAAGCCUGGCUUGGUAUUGAGCGCCGCGGCCUGCCCGCGCGCUCCAAUGUCUCCGGCUGAGCCGUCCGUCUCUAAGCGUUGUGAAUAGCGAUCGCUUGCGAGGCCCGGGCGGUUCGACGCCGUUAAACCCCCCAUUUUCUAUGGUUGACCUCGGAUCAGGUAGGGAUACCCGCUGAACUUAAGCAUAUCAAUAA